UCAAACAGCGUAAUUCUCAUACACAUACAUAAUGAGUACAUGUCAAAAUUUUAUUUUGAUUCAUUAGUGAGAUAACCAGGUGUAUGAGAGGAACUGAUGUAUGUAUGGUUAGCAUGAAAAAAAAAUGUGGAAUGAGAUCACUAAAUGAGAUGCAAAACUGGUUACUUUUCUUCCAGGCAAUAAAACUAUAACCUUCAAUGUCAUGAUCUCUAACAAGGAGAAGUCAUUUUUAUCUCUACAGGAAAAAAAUCAUUUGUAACAUUAUUGGGUAACACCAGUUGUAUCUUAAUAGUUUUCAACAAAUUCACAGCUAAUCUUAGAGAGAGGUAAAAUAAUGGAUUAAGAGUAAAUAGUCAAAAUUACAUUGUUCUGGAAAGUCAAGUGACUCUGAGGCAGGCUUGACAAUGAAAAUCAUGCAUCUUUUGUGCUUUAUUUCCAAAUUUUGGACUUUUUUUUCCUUGAAGAGAGAAGCAACCAGGAGAGAACCUGCUGUGGGUACACAAGCCCAGGAGGCACAGCCAGACUUCUGUCAGUUUGAAGCAGCACGGGCAAGGAGAUAUUUGUGGAAACUUCCAAGAAGACAAGUGGAAUGGAAUGAGAUGUUUUCUCUCAUGGAUGGGAGAUAAAUCAUAGUGCUUUCUUUCAGUGAUGAUGCAGAGUUUGUAGCUGCAGGAAAGAAACAACAGACAGGAAAUGUUUUCUGUUGGAAUUUUUGAAAGGUGUUCAUUCUGCUCCGGGGUCUUCGGAAAAACAGGUUAGUGACUGACCAAAGGGAAAGAAGGAAAAGGGCUGGAGUUCGUGGCUGAACUCCACGUAGUGGUGAAGGCAAACACAGACCCCUGGCUGAAAGUAUCACACACAACUCUGAAAAUAAAAUGUUAUUGGCUCAAGUCUGAAGCUGUCACUUUCCACUGAAAUGGAAUAUAUUGCUCAGAGAAGAGAUGCACCAAAUAUUAUGCAGUUUGCCUUUGGGGAAAGAAAAAAAAUAACACCCACUUAUAAAAACACUUUUUGGGGAUGAAGGAUUUGAUUUCAACUGAUGAGUCAUUACUGUGUUUUUUACCACUAAGCCAAAAAAAUGAUGUUUUUUAAGAAGCAUUUCUUGAAGCAAAUUCUUCCAUUGCUUAGGUUUCUCUCAUCUAAGAGAGAAGGUGUCCUAAGCACUUAUAUCCAGAAGCUUCCCAGUUUGCAUGGAGAUACUGUGGGACAAGAUUCCUAGCUACCAAGUUCCAGAUUCAUCAUGAAAAAGCAACCUCAAGAUAACAUUUAUGAUCUAGAAGCAAGAAGUUAACAAGAAAAUUAAUUCUAAACAAAUUUCAAUGCAUGAAGAUUAUGUUUGAAAACGACACAGUGGAUGUCAGAAAGGCAAAGGAAUUUAAGACAGCUUGGUGAACACUGUAGUGGAGGCCACCAUAUAUCUUGGGUUAGUGUGGACAACAGUCCUAGUUUAUGCAUAGAAAGCAUCCUCUUUCACUCUCAAAAAUGUCUUGCUUUUGACAGUGAUUUAUGGUCACCUUAGAUGUAGUUUUAAAAUAUGUCUGCAGAUGCUUCAAUGCUCUUACCAUCAAGAAGUCUAUGUCCCUUCCCCUUGAAAGUGGGUGGGCUUUUGUGACCACCAGGGUGAGCUGUGUGUGACUGCAGAGGCAUGACCUGACUUCCAAGCCCAGGUGAGAAAAGACCAAGCAACUUCUGGUUUGUCUUGGGGAAUUUGCUCUGGGAGCCAUCAGCCACCCUGUAAGAAGCCUAGCCUCCCAGGAGCCACUACCCUGGAGGGACACAUGGAGAGAGCAGGGAAUGAAAGCAGAAGACGCCCACGAGGCCAGUUGUGCCAGCCCCAGCCAUUCGCAUCUUCCCAGUCCAGGCAUCCAGUGCAUGAGUGAGCGAGGCUUCAGGGUGACUCCAGCUCCGGCCCUCAUCUGACCACAGCUGCGUGAGAGAUGCCGAGGAGGGGCUGCUCUGCUAAGCCCAGGCAACCCUCAGGAGCUGAGAGAAAAUCAUCAGCGAUACUGUUCUUUUCUGUCAGUAUGCUUGAGACGGUUUGUUAUGCAGCAGUUGAUAACUCAGGUGCUGAGUGUGGGCUGGCCAAGCCCCCCGAAGGCCCUGCCAAGGGCGCGUCCAUUGCUGCCAGCGUUCACUGUGCUGCAUGGGCACUGGCUCCCACCAGCUGCCCCAGAGCCGGGCUCCCUGGGAGCCAGGGCCCGCUGUCUCGAAUGUUCUCUCCCCACAUCUUCCAGGUCCCAGCUUAAAAAUCCCUCCUGAUAAGGUCUUAGCUCUCAUAGCCACUUGUGAGAGAUUGCAUUUUCCAAAAAUCACCACAGCCUCAUUUCUGAUCCUACAUCCUGUUUUAAAACCUUGUCUUUCCCUAUCAAGAGGUGCAGUCUACUUCCCCUCCCUUUGAAACUGUGCAGGACUCAGACUCUGAUGAUAUGGUUCAACUGUGCUCUCUCUCAGGGUGCACGCCCUGGGAGCCCAGCCACCGCGGAGGGAAGCCCAGGCUCUAUGGAGAGGCCACAUGUGUGCGUUCCAUCUGAUAGCGCCAGCUGAGGUCCCAGCAGACAGCCGUGCUGACCUGCCGGCAGGGGAGUGAUGUUCCUUCAAACAGGUCCAGCACCCAGCUUUUGAGCCACCCCAACAGAACAAGGAUGAGCUGUCCCUGUUGA